GGGCCCGCACAAGCAGCGGAGCAUGUGGUUUAAUUCGAAGCAACGCGAAGAACCUUACCAGGUCUUGACAUCCAGUAAAGCCCUAAGAGAUUAGGAUUCCCUUCGGGGGUACUGAGACAGGUGGUGCAUGGUUGUCGUCAGCUCGUGUCGUGAGAUGUUGGGUUAAGUCCCGCAACGAGCGCAACCCUUACGGUUAGUUACUAACAGGUGAUGCUGAGGACUCUAGCAGGACUGCCGGGGACAACUCGGAGGAAGGUGGGGACGACGUUCAAAUCAUCAUGCCCCUUAUGACCUGGGCUACACACGUGCUACAAUGGCCGCAACAAAGGGAAGCCAAGGCGCAAGCCGGAGCGGAUCCCAAAAAGCGGUCCCAGUUCGGAUCGUGGGCUGCAACCCGCCCGCGUGAAGAUGGAGUUGCUAGUAAUCGCGAAUCAGCAUGUCG
rnacentral:rRNA from 1 species